GAAAGCGUAACAGCUCACUGGUCUAGUGAACCUGCGCCGAAAAUAUAACGGGGCUCAGAUAUGCGCCGAAUUUGUAGAUUCUUUUUUAAAGAGUGGUAGGAGAGCGUUCGUGUCAGCGUAGAAGGUGUACCGGUGAGGAGCGCUGGAGCGGCACGAAGUGAGCAUGCAGGCAUGAGUAGCGAUAAAAUUGGUGAGAAUCCAAUUCGCCGUAAACCCAAGGUUUCCGACGCUAUGCUCGUCAUCGUCGGGUUAGUCGGGUCCUAAGACGAGUCCGAAAGGGGUAGUCGAUGGCAAAUCGGUUAAUAUUCCGAUACUAACAAUCGUGUGUGAUGGGGGGACGCUUAGGGCUAUGCGAGGCAACUGAUGGAAUAGUUGCUCGAAGGACGUAGGUUGGCUUUCAGGUAAAUCCGAAAGCUGUAUCCGAGAUCUGACAGGCGCUUGAAGUUCUUUGAACGAAUAGCGAAUCGCUGAUGCCGUCG
rnacentral:rRNA from 1 species